rnacentral:rRNA from 1 species
UACGAAGGGGGCUAGCGUUGCUCGGAAUUACUGGGCGUAAAGGGAGCGUAGGCGGGUUAUCAAGUUGGGGGUGAAAGCCCGGGGCUCAACCUCGGAUUUGCCUUCAAAACUGAUAACCUGGAGUAUGGAAGAGGUAAGUGGAACUCCGAGUGUAGAGGUGAAAUUCGUAGAUAUUCGGAAGAACACCAGUGGCGAAGGCGACCUACUGGUCCAUUACUGACGCUGAGGCUCGAAAGCGUGGGGAGCAAACAGG